rnacentral:rRNA from 1 species
GGGUGCGAUCAUACCACUGUUAAUGCAACGGAUUGCAUCAAAAAUCUGCAAUUAAGCAUGCUUGGGCUAGAAAAGAACUAGGAUGGGUGACCUCGCGGGAAGUACUAGUAUUUCACUCU